GAUGAAGAACGUAGCGAAAUGCGAUAAGUAGUGUGAAUUGCAGAAUUCAGUGAAUCAUCGAAUCUUUGAACGCACAUUGCGCCCCUUGGUAUUCCAUGGGGCAUGCCUGUUCGAGCGUCAUUUGUACCUUCAAGCUUUGCUUGGUGUUGGGUGUUUGUCCUGAGGGACUCGCCUUAAAGUAAUUGGCAGCCAGUGUUUGGUUUUGAAGCGCAGCACAAGUCGCGAUUCAAGGCUAUACACCAGCAUCCACAAGCCUUUUUCACUUUUGACCUCGGAUCAGGUAGGGAUACCCGCUGAACUUAAGCAUAUCAAAAGCGGAGGA
rnacentral:misc_RNA from 1 species